AUUGAACGCUGGCGGCAGGCCUAACACAUGCAAGUCGAGCGGAUGAAGGGAGCUUGCUCCUGGAUUCAGCGGCGGACGGGUGAGUAAUGCCUAGGAAUCUGCCUGGUAGUGGGGGAUAACGUCCGGAAACGGGCGCUAAUACCGCAUACGUCCUGAGGGAGAAGGGGGGGGUUUUUCGACCUCACCGCUUCAGAUGAGCCUAGGUCGGAUUAGCUAGUUGGUGGGGUAAAGGCCUACCAAGGCGACGAUCCGUAACUGGUCUGAGAGGAUGAUCAGUCACACUGGAACUGAGACACGGUCCAGACUCCUACGGGAGGCAGCAGUGGGGAAUAUUGGACAAUGGGCGAAAGCCUGAUCCAGCCAUGCCGCGUGCGUGAAGAAGGUCUUCGGAUUGUAAAGCACUUUAAGUUGGGAGGAAGGGCAGUAAGUUAAUACCUUGCUGUUUUGACGUUACCAACAGAAUAAGCACCGGCUAACUUCGUG
rnacentral:rRNA from 1 species